UUUAUUGGAGAGUUUGAUCCUGGCUCAGGAUGAACGCUGGCGGCGUGCCUAAUACAUGCAAGUCGAGCGAAUGGAUUGAGAGCUUGCUCUCAAGAAGUUAGCGGCGGACGGGUGAGUAACACGUGGGUAACCUGCCCAUAAGACUGGGAUAACUCCGGGAAACCGGGGCUAAUACCGGAUAAUAUUUUGAACUGCAUGGUUCGAAAUUGAAAGGCGGCUUCGGCUGUCACUUAUGGAUGGACCCGCGUCGCAUUAGCUAGUUGGUGAGGUAACGGCUCACCAAGGCAACGAUGCGUAGCCGACCUGAGAGGGUGAUCGGCCACACUGGGACUGAGACACGGCCCAGACUCCUACGGGAGGCAGCAGUAGGGAAUCUUCCGCAAUGGACGAAAGUCUGACGGAGCAACGCCGCGUGAGUGAUGAAGGCUUUCGGGUCGUAAAACUCUGUUG
rnacentral:rRNA from 1 species